AUCCUAACAAAGGCUGCCUGUCAACCCCAGCCUCCCUCUCGUCUUGGAAAAGCUCAGUUCGUGCUCCAGCUUUGGGAGACCAGAGAUGAAUUCUCCACGCACGAGACGCUCACGUCUACACAGCCGGGACCGUCAGCACCCAUAGAAGGAAGAGCAGUUUCCAAAUCUUCCGAGCCGAUAAACAGCCCACCGGGUAUGAAAACAAAGUGGCCAACAGGUUGGAUCACUCAGGACUCCGCGUAGCUGACGUCCUGGGCCACGGCCAGGCAGAGAGGCACCCGCCCCCCUUCCUCCUUACAUCACAGCGGGAUGAGCCUAAUAAGCGUUCGAGAAUAAUUAGCGGAUGACACACACUGCCCCCAAGGGAUGAGGGGGUAACAGCAGAACAACAAAGCUCAGGAGGCUUUCGAAACGUCGGUGGCUUUAUAAGCUUCACGAGGUAGACAGGCCGGGCCAGAACCACUCUGUGGGGCUGGUGCCCGGGCCUGCGCCACCUCUCUGAUGCCGGAGCCAACGGUGCGAGGGCACACGGCUCGGGGAGGGCAGAUCGUUAUCUCUUCUCUCAGCGAGAGCCGGGUGCUGCCCCCUCGGGAGCACAAUUAAUUAGGAAUGGAGAGAAAAGUCUGCAGGCAGAUUCCCGGGGCCGCCGAAGCCAGUCUCCAACCCUCUGUGAUACAAACAAAUGCCUUAAAAGAAUCAAGGUCAUAAGGGAAGAGGAAGGCAAGGAACAUAAGCAGGUGAGCAGGAACCAUAAGGAAACACCACCAACGUCUGAUGUGGGGCCUCUGUCCCGGGGGGCUCACAGGUGGCCCUCGAUGCCCACUGCCACGCCAGUGGAACCUGACGGUCUGAGUUUAGCAGACGUACAGUGAGAGGUUUAUUGUCUUACUCGGACAAAAGGUUCUCCGUGGAUGUUCCAAAUAGACCAGAAGGGCCCGACGUAGCGGUUAGGUCCCUCAGUGUCACAGGUGCCUCUAUAAUUUAAUUCCUGCGCACUCAGUGAAUAUUCAUGCGGAGCAGAUGAGAACUGUUGGGCUCUAGGAAGCCUACACUAUACCUCUUUGUCAACAGAGACAGGCGUGCACGUCGGCCGAGUUUAUAUACCUGGGUCAGUGCAUGUUAACCGAGACCCCUGCCUCGACUGCGCGGAGCAGAGCAAACCAGCCACGUGGUGACCCUGAUGUCAGCCCGGGCACACCUGUCUGCUGUACUCAGAGGGCAGAAAACGAGGCGUGGCGCACACAGGGCCCCGUGCAAACUAGGUGACCUGCCAUCUUAUGCCACCUUGGGGGAUAAAGCCUGCACCCAAUCGACCUCACCCUGCCGCUUUGCGCUAACGGCGGCCGAAGAGCAAACUGGGCAAGACCGAAUGGGUCCGAGACACGUACGCAAGUCUCCAUACAUCUGUUCCGCACAUUUAGACGGUUACGGCGUACCCCUCGAAAUUAGCUCUUGAAUGCUCUAGACCCCAAAGCUGUAUCUCCAUCUGGGCCACGAUACUCAAGUCUACUGAUUUUGUGCCAGCGGGUGUAGUCCCUGCAGGGCCCAGAGAAUCAAUCGCUCAACCCCAACUGGAACCGCUGUCCUUGAUGUGGACCAGCCUUAGAAGUUACUACAUCUGUUAGCAAUUUAUUUGGAAAACAGGAAAACCUCAACUAAAGCCGUGUUUGUUAAUUGCUGUAUCAAUCAUUAUUUCUGCAGGACGGUUUCUGUGUAGGCUAACCAGCCCCAAGGGACAAUUUUGCAGAUUUUCCAACAGAACAAACGCUCUAAAUUAGUGAAAUGCUUUAAUGUAAUAAUGUAAUGUAAUAAUUGUACAAACCAUCAAAUACCUUAUCCCCACACUUUGGACAAAUAUAAUGACUGCUUACAAAUUA